rnacentral:tRNA from 1 species
GGUGGCCCAGUGGUAGAGCACUUGCCUUGCAUGCAUGAGGUCCUGGGUUCAAUUCCUCAGCACCA